GACGAACGCUGGCGGCGUGCUUAACACAUGCAAGUCGAACGGAAAGGCCCUGCUUUUGUGGGGUGCUCGAGCGGCGAACGGGUGAGUAACACGUGAGUAACCUGCCCUUGACUUUGGGAUAACUUCAGGAAACUGGGGCUAAUACCGGAUAGGAGCUCCUGCUGCAUGGUGGGGGUUGGAAAGUUUCGGCGGUUGGGGAUGGACUCGCGGCUUAUCAGCUUGUUGGUGGGGUAGUGGCUUACCAAGGCUUUGACGGGUAGCCGGCCUGAGGGGGUGACCGGCCACAUUGGGACUGAGAUACGGCCCAGACUCCUACGGGAGGCAGCAGUGGGGAAUAUUGCACAAUGGGCGGAAGCCUGAUGCAGCAACGCCGCGUGCGGGAUGACGGCCUUCGGGUUGUAAACCGCUUUCGCCUGUGACGAAGCGUGAGUGACGGUAAUGGGUAAAGAAGCACCGGCUAACUACGUG
rnacentral:rRNA from 1 species